AUUGAACGCUGGCGGCAGGCCUAACACAUGCAAGUCGAGCGGAUGAAGGGAGCUUGCUCCUGGAUUCAGCGGCGGACGGGUGAGUAAUGCCUAGGAAUCUGCCUGGUAGUGGGGGAUAACGUCCGGAAACGGGCGCUAAUACCGCAUACGUCCUGAGGGAGAAAGUGGGGGAUCUUCGGACCUCACGCUAUCAGAUGAGCCUAGGUCGGAUUAGCUAGUUGGUGGGGUAAAGGCCUACCAAGGCGACGAUCCGUAACUGGUCUGAGAGGAUGAUCAGUCACACUGGAACUGGGACACGGUCCAGACUCCUACGGGAGGCAGCAGUGGGGAAUAUUGGACAAUGGGCGAAAGCCUGAUCCAGACAUGCCGCGUGUGUGAAGAAGGUCUUCGGAUUGUAAAGCACUUUAAGUUGGGAGGAAGGGCAGUAAGUUAAUACCUUGCUGUUUUGACGUUACCAACAGAAUAAGCAACGGCUAACUUAGUG
rnacentral:rRNA from 1 species